rnacentral:rRNA from 1 species
UACAGAGGGGGCAAGCGUUGUUCGGAAUUACUGGGCGUAAAGGGCGCGUAGGCGGCCUUCUAAGUCGAACGUGAAAUCCCCCGGGCUCAACCCGGGAACUGCGUCCGAUACUGAAGAUCUUGAGUCCGGGAGAGGUGAGUGGAACUGCGAGUGUAGAGGUGAAAUUCGUAGAUAUUCGCAAGAACACCAGUGGCGAAGGCGGCUCACUGGCCCGGUACUGACGCUGAGGCACGAAAGCGUGGGGAGCAAACAGGG